rnacentral:lncRNA from 1 species
GGCCCUUUGUCUGGGCUCGGUCUCCAACCCGCCUAGCUGCCCUCACGGGGCUCACAGUGGUGGCCCCGGCCCCGGCCCCGGCCCCGGCCCCGGCAGGCCGCCCCAGGAACAGCAGAGCAGACCCCAGCCAGACUGGAGGAUUCCGCAGCCCUAGUUCACCCCCGAUGUGAACCGGAUCGCCAGUGGCGCCCCUUGCGUUCCCGGUGAGGAAACAAGACUCAGAGAGGACAGAGUUGUGCAGGAGGUUACUCAUCCGCCCACCAAAUACUCGUUGAGCACCUACCACGAAGUGCUAGGUCCUGGGGUUACCGCUGUGUGUUUUCUGGAAGGGAAGAAGCGGAACAAGCUUGGAAAGCCAGAAGCCAAGUCUGGAAGUCUGGAGGGCUUGAAAACACAGACUUGGAGGGCGAGUCAUCCUAAGAAUUAGGUAAUCGUUGAAAACAAACAAGAAUACUUUCGUCCCUUUAAAGCCUUAGUUCUUCCUCUCUGGAGAUCCUUGACUCAGCAAAGUCUCCUCUUCCUGCUGCAGACUGGCUGGAGAGCAGCGGGAAUGCGUUUUGCAGUUAGAGAAGAGUAUGGAGACUUUUUAUGUAGAUCAAACAACAGGUAAAAAGGGGUCACUGUAGAUCUUCAGCCACAGAAGCCUUGUUUCUCACCAGCCAUACGACCUUUGGCAAGUAAUUCAGUGUCUGGUAGCUUCAUUUCCUCAUCUUCAGAAUGGAAAUGAUCAUCCUUACUGCUCACGCUUCUAUAGGAAGGGGAGUUACCCAUGGAUGGGACACUACUCUGAGUGUCCACCUGGAGUUGAGCUCUGGGAGAACUCAGUCAUUUCUAUCUGUUUACAGCGAUUCAGCACCCCAUUAGGAACUUCCUCAGCAAACCCGAGAAAGAGAUCAGGCAAGACUUGUGCUGGGCAGACCCUUUGGAGUGAGGCUUUCUGUGCCGGGCAGGUAUUCCCUCUUAGUCCUCGAUCCGUUGCAGCUAAUCAGUAACCAAGGACCAUGUGACCACUGCUCACAGAGACUUGAUCAUGCAGGUGAUGAUGGUGAAUUAGAGGAAUACGACCUCCCAAGAUGGUGGAACUGGAACUGAGGAGGUAUUGAUUGCAAAGUAUUAUUCCUGAAAAAUUAGAAUCUUGCACUUUUCAAGAGAACUCCACAGAGGUAUUUCCCA